GAAAGGACUAUGCAGUCCCUAAUGGAAAAAAGGCAUAGGGGAGGCAGGGUUCUCCAAGGGAAAAGACUGCGGACCUCCUGGAAUGCUAAAGACAGGCAAUAGGUCAUAGAGAAUGAAGAAAAAGGGGCCUAAGAAACCAGAAAGCAGAGACCUGAUAAUGCAGAGUAGACCAAUGAAAGAAAGAUCUCUUGGAGAGGACAGCUGAAAGAGGGAGCAGUCCAGAGGACUGAAGGGGAAAAGGAAGAUCAGAGGAAGCAGAGUAAACAGAGAGAGAAUGGAAAAAGAAGCAAAGAGUCAAUCUAGGUCAUCUUUCCUGGUUUAGAGGAAGACAACUGUGGUAUUAAUAACCAGCAUCCUCAAACAGUUCAAAUGCAUCAAGCCAUAAAGUUAAUAAGCAGGUUAAUAAGUAAAAUGUUUUGUUUGCUGCC